GACGAACGCUGGCGGCGUGCUUAACACAUGCAAGUCGAACGGAAAGGCCCUGCUUUUGUGGGGUGCUCGAGUGGCGAAGGGGUGAGUAACACGUGUGUAACCUGCCCUUGACUUUGGGAUAACUUCAGGAAACUGGGGCUAAUACCGGAUAGGAGCUCCUGCUGCAUGGUGGGGGUUGGAAAGUUUCGGCGGUUGGGGAUGGACUCGCGGCUUAUCAGCUUGUUGGGGGGGUAGUGGCUUACCAAGGCUUUGACGGGUAGCCGGCAUGAGAGGCGGACCGGCGACAUUGGGACUGAGGUACGGCGCAGACGGCAACGGGAGGCAGCGGUGGGGAAUAUUGCACAAUAGGCGGAAGCCUGAUGCAGCAGCGCCGCGUGCGGGAUGACGGCCUUCGGGUUGUAAACCGCUUUCGCCUGUGACGAAGCGUGAGUGACGGUAAUGGGUAAAGAAGCACCGGCUAACUACGUG
rnacentral:rRNA from 1 species